CGUACGCACUUAGCAUGGCAUUUAGCCAAUGAAUAUAAUGCAGCUUUGAAUUCAUUGGUCAUGACUGUGUGACUAAACACGUCUCCAACUCAAUCAUCAAGUUGGCUGAUGACACAACAGUGGUAGGCCUGAUUACCAACAACAAUGAGAUAGCCUACUACUACUCCUGGCGGAGUGGUGCCAGGAAAAUAACCUCUCCCACAAUGUCAACAAAACGAAAGAGCUGAUCUGGGACUACAGGAGACCACAGAGACAACACGCCCCAUUCACAUCGACGUGGCCCCAGUGGAGGGUAAAAAGCUUCAAGUUCCUUGGUGGGCACAUCACAGAGGACCUGAAAUGGUCCCACCACACAACACCGUGGUGAAGAAGGCGCAAUAGUGCCUCUUCAACCUAAGGAGAACAUUUCAGCUUGGCCCCUAACGCUGUGAAACACUGUCUGCAGAUGAAGAGGUCCCAGUGAAUGUCCCAAGAACCUGCUGGCACAUCCUCGUAUACCAUGGAUUGUAUACGUUAGCACAUGUUAUAUACAACAAUACAGUUAAAAGUCACACACAAUUUAGACUACAAACCUAUUACAACUGUAGCAGGCCAAUCCUUCUCCUGGAGGUAUGCUGGGUGUGCAGGUUUCUUUCUGUUCAAGCCCAGCACUAACACAUUUGAUUAAAAUGAUCAAACCGAAUGAGUUGAUAAUAAUGUGUAUUAUUGGUGGGAAGUAGAAGUCUGCUCACCCAGUAGAUCAGGGAGUGGAUCAAGGUUUGUCACAACUGGUAUGGACUUUCUUUGUUCACCUGAAACGAUGCUUUAGUAAUUAUAGCCUCCUUACUAAGAUGUCUAAUAUUUACAAACAAGUUAGCUAAUUUGUACAUUUUGAAAUUAUAUGUUUAAACUUGUUUUUAAUUGUUAAUUUAAAAAACAUUAUUCAAGAUGAACUAGUGUCAAUGUUCAUUAAUCACAGAUCAUAGUUCUACAAUAAAAAGGUGUGAAGG